CCCAAUUCCCCCACACCCCCCCUUUCCGGAACCGCGGCUUGUCCGCGCAGCCACAGGGCUCCGCCAAUAUGGCGGCCGCCGUCACCUGUGCAGCAUGGAAACCAAAGGGGAGCCGCGUCAGAAUGAUAUCAUCUAGGCACUGAAAGUCUCCCUUAAUGGACAAUAAUGUAAUGGACAACUUGGGACCAAUAAAUUGUAGAGAAACUGUUGCCUUGGUGUUUCAUGAGCUGACGGGAAAACGUGGAGCGCCCAGUCAAGUAAUAGAACAUGGGAUAACGGUCAUGAGAGGGACUUCUAUUUAAGGAGAGGAUCAUCGCCCCUAAACCUUUUUAAAGGACCAGUAACACCAAGUUAGCUUAACACUUAAUUCCCCCAAAACUUCUCUAUAAGUCAGGCUUAGUCUCCCCUUUGGUUUUCUUUUUAAAUCUUGAGUUUCAAUCUGACUUCCAAUGUGAAAAGGUGACGGCCGCUUGAAUUCCUCUGUCUGCUGAACCAGAAGUCAGCUUCACAU